UUCAACCACAAAUCAAGAUGUCCAGUUCCAAAUGGUCAUUUUAUCUCAAAAUUUACGAGUUGUUUACUAAAGAUAAAUGAAAUUCUGACUGUUAUUUACUGUGCAUUUAAUAUUUGUCAGUCUCGCUGAAGGGAAAACAUCUCGAUAUGACAAAUUUACGACGCACUUUGGACCAGAUAUCAAGUUUCAACUUUGAGAUCCGUCAGCUGUACAUCCACUGACACCUGGAAUUUAACGAUUCCCCUGAGCCAUAAGCAUCCAGAAUCCACGAAUAUGAUUAGAUAAGACACUCCUGCGACAUGGUAAAUGUCACUUUACCACACAUCACUUCAUGCAUUUCCUACGGGAAAUUCAAACUCUGUCAUCCCUAGGUAGUUAACCACCUCCUCGACAGUCUACCCCACAGUAUAAUCUUCCCACAUUGUCAUUGACAGUUUGGAGAUCGUUUUCGAUUGAUAAUACGAUCCAACAGUAUCAGAAUUUCCACCAGAUUUCAACAGAAUCCUAUUCGUUGACGGUUCAAUUGACACUGAUGAAAAUUCACUGGACCACUGGAUGACAUGCAAAUACUGAAUUUAUACCACAAGUACAGGAUCACGUAUUGAAGGUUGGACAGGAAUGUGGUUAUAAAUUGUUAACAAGUCUCUACGUAGUUGGAAGCCCAACUCCUUGCGGCAUGAAAUUCUCAGGAGUGGAAUUUAUCUUGACUUGGUGUACUCCCUAAGUUUACGUUGUAAUCCCGUCUGUCAGUUUUUGCGGUACAAAGGAGAUGUUGAGUUCUUCACCGUGAACAACAAUUCCAUUUCUUUGUUCAUAAUUUCACUGAAUUUAUUUUCACUAUUGUAUAUCCACAAAAUUCUAACAUCUAUCAGGUCUUAAUGAAUAAUUUAAAAAUUCAGACGAUGGUGAUAGAUAAAGGGAGAUAGUACUCUGUGGUGUUCACGUGAAACGACACAUGGGAAUCGUUACUCUGACGAUAUAUUUUCGAGAUGCGGUGGAGGUACUGCUACGGUAUUAGUACCCGAAAACGAGGCAUGAAUAUGUGAAUAUUUAAGUACUAGGACUGAAAGAAGGGCUCGCCCAUCGACCGAAGGCGCAACUGAGAAUCGCAAAACAUUCUAUGAUCGAUACGAUAUAUCCGUCUCGGUGACGAAUAAGGAUCAUUUUUUGACGGAUCUAAUCUGUCAAAUUUUGUCCUCAACAUAGAAACGCAUUACGAAAUUUCGAAGUCGAAGCUAAAUUGAACGAAUGAAAUUCACAUUUCGCAUAUCGCCAAGUACUAUAUGGUUCUAUGUCCUAAUGAACAUAAACCAAACAUCACGAUCAGUUCCGUUUAAAAUCUUGAGUUAUUGUUGUAAUCAAUACACUAACUUCAAAGUAAAUAAUAAACCGCAAAACUGAUUUAAUAUAAAUUUGGUGUUUGUGUUGAUUUAUUUCGUUCAAAAUUUCCCGCAUUUUGGUUUAUCACUUCACGGAAAACGGACCCGCCACCUGGAAUACCCGAGAACCAGACGAGUAGGCAAAGUAGAGACUAGCCUUUGCAACUGCACGGAGCGAGUACCCGGUUCGCUUCUACUCCCAAUAUAGAGAACUAUCUAAGGGUCGGUAAACAUGGUUCCUA